rnacentral:pre_miRNA from 1 species
UGGACUAGUAGCGAGUGGUGGUGACAGAAGAGAGUGAGCACACUCGGGCAAUUGUAUAAAGCCAUACCUUUGCGUGAUGUGUGCUCACUUCUCUUUCUGUCAGCCGCACGCCGCCCYCCGCCCA